rnacentral:rRNA from 1 species
AGAGUUUGAUCCUGGUUCAGAACAAACGCUGGCGGCGUGCCCUAACACAUGCAGUCGUACGAGAAGUCCGCUUCGGUGGAUGAGUAAAGUGGCGCACGGGUGAGUAACGCGUGGAUAAUCUACCCUUUAGUCUGGAAUAACUUAUCGAAAGGUGAACUAAUACCGGAUAAUAUCCCGAUUUCUUCGGCGAUCGGGAUCAAAGAAGGCCUCUGCUUGCAAGCUUUCACUGAAGGAUGAGUCCGCGUACCAUUAGCUAGUUGGCAGGGUAAUGGCCUACCAAGGUUAUGAUGGUUAGCUGGUCUGAGAGGAUGAUCAGCCACACUGGAACUGAAACACGGUCCAGACUCCUACGGGAGGCAGCAGUGAGGAAUAUUGCGCAAUGGGGGCAACCCUGACGCAGCAACGCCGCGUGAGUGAGGAAGGUUUUCGGAUUGUAAAGCUCUGUCGAGCGGAAAGAAGUGCAUGGUGGUUAAUAUCCAUCAUGCUUGACGGUACCGCUAAAGGAAGCACCGGCUAACUCCGUGCCAGCAGCCGCGGUAAUAC